UACGGGAGGCAGCAGUGGGGAAUAUUGGACAAUGGGCGAAAGCCUGAUCCAGCAAUGCCGCGUGAGUGAAGAAGGCCUUCGGGUUGUAAAGCUCUUUUACCCGGGAUGAUAAUGACAGUACCGGGAGAAUAAGCCCCGGCUAACUCCGUGCCAGCAGCCGCGGUAAUACGGAGGGGGCUAGCGUUGUUCGGAUUUACUGGGCGUAAAGCGUACGUAGGCGGCUUUGUAAGUUAGAGGUGAAAGCCCAGGGCUCAACCCUGGAAUAGCCUUUAAGACUGCAUCGCUUGAACGUCGGAGAGGUGAGUGGAAUUCCGAGUGUAGAGGUGAAAUUCGUAGAUAUUCGGAAGAACACCAGUGGCGAAGGCGACUCACUGGACGACUGUUGACGCUGAGGUACGAAAGCGUGGGGAGCAAACAGGAUUAGAUACCCUGGUAG
rnacentral:rRNA from 1 species